UGCUGUUUCUGACUUCCUUUAUACAGGCUGGAAACUACUGGCAGACUAAAAUUGCGCCAAAAUUCAUGAUAAUUUUGUGGGGGUUUUAGCAGCUGGCUUGUUGGAAUAUCUGCCCUGCUCAAAAAUGGCUCCAGUGGUUAUAAACAGGUGGUGGCACGGCAGAAUGGUUUUGUGGAAACUGCAAGCAUAUGACAGCUUAAUUUUCUUUCACAAGGUUGUGAGACCAGUUUGCAGGUGAUGCUAAAGGUAACAGAUUUACAGCACCAGCUGACAUACAGGCAACGCGUACAGUGCCUUGUUAAUUGUCAAAAGAAAUGUUUCUGGUCCUCUCGUGCUGUAAUGUUAAACAGAUCUAGCAAUGUGACGAGAGAGGCCAUAAGGUACAAAGAGCGCUCUUCACCUUUACUGUGUCUAUGUAAGAAACGCUUUUAUGCAAUCACUAGACUACUGGCCGAUAAGAUGAUGUGUAGAAUGUUUGCAAAAACCUCACACCCAGAAUGCAAGUUUGUGAGGACAGGUCACAGAUUUUCAAGCUCCUGACAAAAUGCCUACAUGUAACUUUUCUCCGUUACAGAAACCCAGAUCUUGUAACCGCUGGAGUACGUGUGUGUUUGUGCAACUCGUCUUCUCUGUUUCAACUAGAAACCAGGAUGUCAUUUGGCUAUGACAACAAAGAUUUUAUGGCCACUGGUUAUUUAAAUAAAAUGCUAAUAAAGUGUUUCUGAUGAUAUUUGUUCUUUUAAUAAAGCUGUGACUGAUCUUA